GUGGAAUAGGAGAAGAAGCCAAGGUGUAAUAUUUAGGUGACAACAGGCAGAAUGAGAUGGACUUGGCGGAGGCUGUGGGCGGUCAAUUCACGGCGCAGAUUACCUACACCUUGCACCACGCUGAUUGCUCGCCGCUCUUCACUAAAGUCGGGCAAGCCUGUAUCUCCGUGUUUUGCCCUGGAUAUAGGAGUAAAUUGGACCGUUCGCACUCACGUUCGUGUUCCCAUGGGACAAGUAAAACACCAAAAGAAAGAACUAGUCUCGAUAACCUGGCGUAGUAGCAAUACACUACGAGGAAACAUCCUUGCCUAACACCCCUGAGUGGUUGUUAUAUCACUCAUCCUCCGUCACUGGUGGUGUGACUUCCACUAGUGUUGAAAGAGAGAAAGGGAUGGGACCGAUAGCGGAGCGAGAGCAGACCGUACAUGUGAAUGCACCAGGACCUUGACCAGAGCGAGAGCGGAGCAAUAGCAUAGCGAGAGCGAGGCGAGAACUUAGCGAUAGUGUGAAUCAAGCCUUAGCCUCAGAAGAUGAGGGGGCUUCGGCGCCGCGUCGGGAGCAAGCUUAGCUAGUGUAGUGUAGUGGUGUUCACUACAUGUGUGUGUGUGUGUGUGUGUGUGUGUGUGUGUGUGUGUGUGUGUGUAUGUGUGUGUGUGGG
rnacentral:lncRNA from 1 species